rnacentral:lncRNA from 10 species
UCAGAUUUCUGUGGGUCAAAGAACAAAUGGGAGGUGGAGCUGCAAAAUAUGUGAAGCAAAAACUGCAAAAUAUGUGAAGCAAAAAUUGAUAGGACUGAAAGGAGGAACAGACAAACCCACAGUCAUGGUUGAAAACUUUGAUACUCCUUUCUCAACCAUUAGCAGAAUACCCAGACAGAAAUCAGCAAGGACAUGGAAAACUCAACACUGCUGAGCACCAGGAUGGAAUCAACAUUUAUGGAACGCUUCACCCAAUAAUAGCAGUGUCCAUAGAAUAUAUGUGAAAUAGACUGUAUCUUGGGCCGUAAAACAAACCUUAAUGAAUUUAAAAGAACGAAAAGGAUACAGUGUGUUUUUCAACUACAUUGAAA